rnacentral:tRNA from 1 species
GGAGGUGUGGCUCAGUGGUGGAGUGCUUGCCUGGCACGCAUGAGGCCCUGGGUUUGAUCCCCAGCACCGCAA